rnacentral:rRNA from 1 species
UACGGAGGGUGCAAGCGUUAUCCGGAUUCACUGGGUUUAAAGGGUGCGUAGGCGGGUUGAUAAGUCCGUGGUGAAAUCCCCAAGCUUAACUUGGGAACUGCCAUGGAUACUAUUGAUCUUGAAUAUCGUGGAGGUAAGCGGAAUAUGUCAUGUAGCGGUGAAAUGCUUAGAUAUGACAUGGAACACCAAUUGCGUAGGCAGCUUACUACACGAUCAUUGACGCUGAGGCACGAAAGCGUGGGGAGCAAACAGG